AAAGCCUCGUGGGUAACGAAAAAAAAAAAAAAAGGCACGGAACUGCCCCGCGGCUGGUGGUGCGGGAGCAGAGGGGCUGGCACGGAGCGCAGGACGGGCAGAGGCACGGGGCCCCCUCACCGUGUGGAACACUGGGCCUCACAUAAACCAGGCAGGAGAGAUGUUUCCAAGAUGGGAUCAUUUCACACCAGAACUCAUAUACUGAAACCCUAAUUAAUAUUGAAAAGUCUGUGCUCUGCCAUGUCCUCAAAUCCGUGGAAUUGGGGUAAGGAAACUGAACUAUCCAACAUGUUUCUCCCACACGUCCACAGAGCUAAUGCUUCCACCACACCUAUCCUUUUGUAAAAAUACAACUGUUGCAACAGU